rnacentral:sRNA from 1 species
GCUGGGUGUGGUGGUGCACACCUGUAAUCCCAGUGGCUGGGAGGCUGAGGCAGGAGAAUUGGGAGUUCAAAGCCAGCCUUAGCAACUCAGCAAGACCCUAAGCAACUCAAUGAGACCCUGUCUCUA